rnacentral:rRNA from 1 species
UACGGAAGGUGUAAGCGUUGUCCGGAUUUAUUGGGCGUAAAGAGUUUGUAGGCGGUUUUGUAAGUCUGAAGUGAAAUUAUGGAGCUCAACUCCAUACACGCUUUUGAAACUACAGAACUAGAGAAUGUUAGGGGUGAGUGGAAUUUCCAGUGUAGCGGUGAAAUGCGUAGAUAUUGGAAAGAACACCGGAGGCGAAGGCGGCUCACUGGGACAUUUCUGACGCUGAGAAACGAAAGCUAGGGGAGCGAAAGGG